ensembl:lncRNA
GCAGAUCUCUUGGGUUGAGUACGCUCAUAACUCAUUACCAGUGUCGUCCACGGGCCUAUCUCCAUUUGAAUGUAGUUUAAGGUACCAGCCACCAAUUUUUCGCGGUCCCCUCUGCUCACAAAUUCAUCCAGAGGUGCAGACACAUCUGGAGAACAGCCAGGGUGACUCUCCUCCAGGUGGGGUUGCGCACCAAGGCCCAGGCCGAUCGCCACCAGUCGAGGCCUCCCGUCUACAUCAUUGGUCAAAAAGUGUGUCUUUCAUCUGCCGAUAUUCCACUCCGCUCCGUUUGUAGAAAGCUUGCUCCCAAAUUUAUUGGCCCGUUUACUGUCAUCAAGAUCCUUAGUCCGGUGACGGUCUGCCUCAAACUUCCUUCGGCGUACCGGAGAAUCCAUCCCGUUUUCCACAUUUCAAACAAUUAAGCCCCUUAUUCAUUCUGCCAUUAAUCCGCCUACCCCGGUUCCCCCACCGCCGCGAAUAGUAGAUGGGGAACCAGCUUAUUCGGUUAGUCGGAUUCUGGACUCAAGGCGGAGGGGACGCGGAUUCCAGUACUUGGUGGACUGGGAGGGUUACGGUCCCGAGGAGAGAAGUUGGGUUCCAGCCCGGGACAUAUUGGAUCACUCCCUUAUCGAUGACUACAAUCGACAGUGUCCUCCGGUCCAGUUGGUUUUGGAGUUUCCUGCCGCUAGUGCUUGUGCCUGGGACUGUUUACUCGAGUUGGCGUGUCACCAUUGUAGCUUCCUGUUUUUCGGUUCGUGUCUUCAAGGAUUCUGUCCACAGCAGUCACUGCACUGCCAAGGAAGAACUGCCGACCAGAGACUUGUGCCUACUACCUGACCUUGUUUGUUCUUUUGAGCAUUUAAAUAAACCAUUGUUCAUUCGCAACUGGAUCCAGUGUUUCUGUCCCUGACAAACGUUAGUAGAACAUUUUAAGAAACUUUUUUUUUGUAACCUUUAAAUAGUAUUUUAAUCAUUGCAAGAAAACUCCAUUCUAUUUUAAUUUUCUAAUUGCGUGUUCCCCAAACUAAACCUUAGGAUAUUGUUUAAGGUCUUUCUUAUGUGUGACGUCAGGUGCUGUCCAUGGCAGGGGUGCUGAAUUGGUUAAUAUUGAUGGCUUGAGAAUCAAUUAUUCAUUGCUUUAUGUGAGAAAGUGGUGUUCUUUAUAAUAAAAAUAGCACAUCAGAAAUAGACAAAUUGUAAGGUCAUCACACGUCGAGUGUGCAAGGCCCCAUUGUGUGUGGCAGUGUGCAUGCAAUUUUUUUGUAACUUUGUGUGCGACUCAGCUUCCAAGGAGUCACGACUGUAUUUCUGAAUCGUUGUGCCAAAUUUUGACCCCAUGCCAAAUUUCUACCCUCCUCGUUGAAGUCGCUACCUGUUUGCCUAAUCCUAACCCCUCCUCCACUCCUGACCCUAAACCUACCAAUAUUGGGAGGUAAUAAUCUGGUGUGGGGGUCAGAAUUGGGCACAACACCGGCAUUUGUGUGCAUUGGAGCAGCCUGAUGUGAAGGUCAAACUCCAUCAGGUGCUUUCUGAGGAUUUGAUGGAAAACAAUGCAAAGAUUUUUUAAGGUUUUUUAAGAGAGGUAAGUUUUAUUAUUUUUAAUAUAUAUAAACAUAGAAUUAUAAUUCAUUUAGAUAGGAUUUAACAUUCGUUGCUUAAUGUUGUCUUGUGUUUGAUAUAAAACAAACCCAAAAGCUGAAAAAGGUUUUUGUGGUGUACCAUUCAUUCGUGUAUUGCAAAUAUACACAAUUACCAUAAAUUGAUGUGACAGACAUUGAUUAACCUUAUAUAAAACCUACACAAAGAUGCAUUUCUUAUAGACGUGCAAACAAAAUCGCCUGAUUUUGUAAAUAUGACCAACAACAUUUGCAUUAAGCACCCAGUUUGUGCUUAUCUAUAAUUUAAAUUAAUAGCUUACAUUUACAAAAUGAGCCUACGAUAAGCCUUUUUAAUGAAAGUAAAGGCCCAUGUUU